AAAAGGUAACACAGCUGCAGCAGCAAAGGAGAGACAAUUGGCAUGAGAGAAAAUUGCUGCCCGAGUCAAUGCAUGCAACCCCACAGGCGCAAAGCGCACUUGGCAGCAGCUGAAGAUCAAACAUAAAAAUAUAAUUCAGACAGCCAACAGAAAGAAGGCAGAGGCCCGCAAAACGGGUGGAGGGCCACCGGCCCCACCACUGACGGUUGCUGAACAGCUGGCCCUGAGCCAGAACACUGGAAGACCAGCGGCUGAAGGCAUUCCUGGAGGGAGCUCAUCUGAGCCACUCAGACGGCAUCUAAUUAAAACUAUGGCAAAAACGGACAAUGAAA